GACGAACGCUGGCGGCGCGCCUAACACAUGCAAGUCGAACGAGAGAUGAAGAGCUUGCUCUUCAAAUCGAGUGGCGAACGGGUGAGUAACGCGUGGGUAACCUGCCUUAUACAGGGGGAUAACAGUUGGAAACGACUGCUAAUACCGCAUAAGCGCACGGUAUCGCAUGAUACAGUGUGAAAAACUCCGGUGGUAUAAGAUGGACCCGCGUCUGAUUAGCUUGUUGGUGAGGUAACGGCCCACCAAGGCGACGAUCAGUAGCCGGCCUGAGAGGGUGAACGGCCACAUUGGGACUGAGACACGGCCCAAACUCCUACGGGAGGCAGCAGUGGGGAAUAUUGCACAAUGGGGGAAACCCUGAUGCAGCGACGCCGCGUGAGUGAUGAAGUAUUUCGGUAUGUAAAACUCUAUCAGCAGGGAAGAUAAUGACGGUACCUGACUAAGAAGCACCGGCUAAAUACGUG
rnacentral:rRNA from 1 species